CUCGCGUGUCUAUUAUCAGAAGCGACGGCAGGAUGAAGGUCAAGCUAAAGACUUUGCCUAACGAGCCGAGAGGUGUUGCAUGGCGAUCGUCAGUUCGUGGUGUGAACUAUCCGGUUAAGUCCGGUAACGAACGAGAUCCCUGUGAACAGUUGCUAUUGCUGCAGAGAUGCGGCAAGCACUCUGUUCAGACCGCCUGCGUUUAAGCAGGAGGAAGGAAGGGGCCACGGUACGUCAGUAUAGCCCAAAUCUCCAGGGCUACACGCGGCAUACAAAGGCUGGUACAAUGGGUUGCUACCCAGAGAUGGGACGCCAAUCCCUAAACCAGCCCCAGUUCGGAUUGAGGGUUGCAACUCACCCUCAUGAAGUUGGAAUCCCUAGUAAUCGCUUGUCACCAUCGAGCGGUGAAUACGUCCCU
rnacentral:rRNA from 1 species